rnacentral:rRNA from 1 species
UACGAACUGUGCGAACGUUAUUCGGAAUCACUGGGCUUACAGGGUGCGUAGGCGGCUUUUCAAGUCAGGUGUGAAAGCCCCCGGCUCAACCGGGGAAUUGCGCUUGAAACUGGAGAGCUCGAGUCAGCUAGAGGUGCACGGAACUUCCAGUGGAGCGGUGAAAUGUGUUGAUAUUGGAAGGAACACCGGAGGCGAAAGCGGUGCACUGGGGCUGGUCUGACGCUGAGGCACGAAAGCCAGGGUAGCGAACAGG